ACGAGCUAAGAAGCAGCUUUUCUAGGAUCCACAGCUUUAAACAGCUACUUUACUAAGCUUAGAGUUUAAAAAUUGGUGUUUUCUUGUGUUUGCUGAUUGGUCUGUCAUGUUUACUGUUGGGAGUCUGUCAACACGGAGCAGAUAAUGAUUGAUGGAGGACGUCAUUGUGACCACUGGAGUCUGUUCGACAACAACAGAAGGAGAAUAUUAGUUUAUUUUGUUUUACUUUGGACUAAAGCAGGCGGAUGAUGUUUGUCAGGAUGGUUUCAGUUUCUCUCCUGUUGCUGUUGCUGUCCGUCCUGUUUUCAGCUCAAAGUUUCGCUGUAAAGACGGACGAGUUUCUCGGCCCUCCAGAGUGUCUGGAAAACAGGUUUACUCGUGAAUUGUGUGACUUGGUGUUCUGUCCUCCAUGGCAGCGCUGCUUCAACGGAC